UUUGACUGAAAUAGGGGACCAUGAGGUCCCCUCGUUUGGUUGGCCGAUCGACAACGCAGUCGGCAUGGGGAUGGUCGGCGAUUGAAGGAGCACGACUCGCCGCCUGAAUGAACCCAAACCGGUGGCCGGCGAUGACCACCGGCACCCAAAAAAUCAAAAGAAAAUCGAACCCCUUUUUCAUGAAAAUUUGAUGACUCUGGUCGUCGGUGAACAUGCAUAUUGACACGGGAAAGAGG
rnacentral:lncRNA from 1 species